GUGCUCGCUUUGGCAGCACAUAUACUAAAAUUUGAACGAUAGAGAGAAGAUUAGCAUGGCCCCUGCACAAGGAUGACAUGCAAAUUCGUGAAGCGUUCCAUAUUUUU
rnacentral:snRNA from 1 species